GCUUACCUGCGCGCGCGCGCGCGUGUGUCCACGCGAGUUCGACCCUUUCUGCGCGCGUGUGUCAGUCAAAUCAUUUUUUUUGGAUCCCGAGGUGAGUUGUUCGUGUGGCACGUACACAAAAUGCAUCCAAACUCUGUUGAGACGCACUCUAAAGUAUCAAAUAAAAAUCAACCUUAGAACUUCAUACAACGAAAAGCACCAAUUGGACAACGCCAUGACACUUUUUAAAGAAAUAAAUGUGGUUGCUUGAAACGUGUUUGAAGCUGCGUCUAAAAAGCGCUGCCUUGGCGAGCGUCGCUCAAAGAACUACAAAUAUGGCAGGAGAACUACGGAAGAGCCAAAGGCCCAAAAAUCUCACGGCCGCUUUCCGGACUCGCAGGUGUAAGCGAUUAUUUGCCAUCAAGCGGGCUACGCUCCCGCCGUCUUCGUUCAACGGCGGACCGGCAGCCGGUGAACCGACGACGUGUUAAAGGAGGAGCCGGCCUACAGAUGGGGGCCGUGUCCAUGCGUCCCAGACAAAGGCAAGUCGGCCAGUGGCCUUGAGCAGAAUCCUGAUCAGGGUGCAGGGUCCUGAUAUUGACACACGACGGUCGUCUCCUUUUUGGAAGUAACGACGACACCUAUCGACCGCAGGUGGAACAGCUGCUUCCAAAGUAACAAGUCAUGACAACGGCGCACUACUCGAAUUGAGGGCAUCCGGUCUUUGGUUUCGCAAACAAAGCGCGGGCUGACCUGAGGCUCGGUGCACAGCGUGACGGACUCGUGCAGGUUGAGGCGGCACAAGCGCAGGGGCGAGCGCAGGCCUUUGGACGCGCACCACGGGCAGCACUCCAGAGACGCCGCCCGCUCUUGGACCUUCAAACGCACAAUUGAAGGACUUACCGACACUUUCAAUGGUAAUCAA